UACGAAGGUGGCAAGCGUUAUUCGGAUUUACUGGGCGUACAGGGAGCGUAGGCGGUUCGGUAAGCCCUCUGUGAAAUCUUCAGGCUUAACCUGGAAAAGUCGGAGGGGACUGCCGGGCUAGAGGACGGGAGAGGAGCGCGGAAUUCCCGGUGUAGCGGUGGAAUGCGUAGAGAUCCCCAAGAACACCAGUUGCGAAGGCGGCCAACUAGACACAUAUUGACGCUGAGGCUCGAAAGCAUGGGGAGCAAACAGG
rnacentral:rRNA from 1 species